GCACUGGUGGUUCAGUGGUAGAAUUCUCGCCUGCCACGCGGGUGGCCCGGGUUUCGAUUCCCGGCCAGUGCA